AUUGAACGCUGGCGGCAGGCCUAACACAUGCAAGUCGAGCGGAGUUGUGGACGGGCGAGUAAUGCCCACGUAUCUGCCUGGUCUUGGGGGCUAACGUCAGGUAAUGGGCGCUAAUCCCGCACCCUAUUUGCUGCGCCUUGGUCGUAUUAGCUAGCUGGUUGGGUAAAGGCCUACCAUGGCGACGAUCCGUAACUGGUCUGAGAGGAUGAUCAGUCACACUGGAACUGAGACACGGUCCAGACUCCUACGGGAGGCAGCAGUGGGGAAUAUUGGACAAUGGGCGAAAGCCUGAUCCAGCCAUGCCGCGUGUGUGAUGAAGGUCUUCGGAUUGUAAAGCACUUUUAGUUGGGAGGCGUUACCGACAGAGUAAGCACCGGCUAACUUCGUGCCAGCAGCCGCGGUAAUAC
rnacentral:rRNA from 1 species